rnacentral:rRNA from 1 species
CCUACGGGAGGCUGCAGUCGAGAAUCUUCCGCAAUGCGCGAAAGCGUGACGGAGCGACGCCGCGUGGGUGAUGAAGGCCUUCGGGUUGUAAAGCCCUGUCACCUGGGAAGAAUGACGGGGGGUGAAUAGCCUCUCGUUUGACGCUACCAGGAGAGGAAGCACCGGCUAAAUACGUGCCAGCAGCCGCGGUAAUACGUAUGGUGCGAACGUUGUUCGGAAUCACUGGGCAUAAAGAGCACGUAGGCGGUUGAGCAAGUCCAUUGUGAAAUCCCCCGGCCUAACCGGGGAACUGCAUUGGAUACUACUUGACUUGAGUGCAGGAGGGGAGAGUGGAAUUCCAGGUGGAGCGGUGAAAUGCGUAGAUAUCUGGAGGAACGCCGGCGGCGAAAGCGACUCUCUGGUCUGUAACUGACGCUGAGGUGCGAAAGCUAGGGGAGCAA